GGCCGCGGGAAUUCGAUUCAGGCCUAGCACAUGCAAGUCGAGCGGAGAUGAGGUGCUUGCACCUUAUCUAAAAAAAAGACGGGUGAGUAAUGCUUAGGAAUCUGCCUAUUAGUGGGGGACAACAUUCCGAAAGGAAUGCUAAUACCGCAUACGUCCUACGGGAGAAAGCAGGGGAUCUUCGGACCUUGCGCUAAUAGAUGAGCCUAAGUCGGAUUAGCUACUUGGUGGGGUAAAGGCCUACCAAGGCGACGAUCUGUAGCGGGUCUGAGAGGAUGAUCCGCCACACUGGGACUGGGGCACGGCCCAGACUCCUACGGGAGGCAGCAGUGGGGAAUAUUGGACAA
rnacentral:rRNA from 1 species